rnacentral:rRNA from 1 species
AUACAUGCAGUCGAGCGGACAGAAUGGGAGCUUGCUCCCUGAUGUUAGCGGCGGACGGGUGAGUAACACGUGGGUAACCUGCCUGUAAGACUGGGAUAACUCCGGGAAACCGGGGCUAAUACCGGAUGCUUGUUUGAACCGCAUGGUUCAGACAUAAAAGGUG